AUAACUUGAAAAAUUGUUCUGAAAGUGUUAAGUCUUGUCUUCCUCUCAACCCAACGAUUGACGAGUCGUGAUACUUCUUUCUGAACGUGAAUCUGAUGGAGAGUAAUGAGUAAAAUCAUCUGCUCUCUGUUGUUGAUGAACGUUCCUGCUGUGUUUCACAGUCUGGAGGAAAGAAGUAUGAACUGAGUGAU
rnacentral:snoRNA from 1 species